GGGAUUUGAAUCUGGAAAAAUAUUUCGUUCGCAAUGAAGAGGUCAGGAGUUCGAAUCUCCUAUGCUCCA
rnacentral:tRNA from 2 species